CUACUCAAGAGCUUUUCCCGCCAUAUCCAUGUGUCGGAUAAUGGAGCUCAUGGGUAGCGUUUUAAAGUCCUUUGGUUCCAGGUAUCCUGCUCCAAAGUCCUUCAUUCUUUGGCGUGACAUUCACACAUUAGGUGUUUUACUGUAUCUUCCUCUUCGCCACACAUACGACAAUCGGUGUUGUCAGAGUGUCCCAUCUUGGCCAGAAUGCCUUUGACCCCGUAAUGGCCAGUAAACAUCCCUGUUAUGAUUUGGAGUUGUCUUUUGCUAAGUUUCCAAAGCUUUUUAGAAACUUAGCAAAAGACAAUCGUAUGCUAUAUGUAGUAUGAAUUAUCUGAGAUGAUAUUUUCGACUCUGGCCCUAAUCUGUUAAACAAAAGGUAUUGUUUCCUUUAUGCAGUGAGUACUUCUGCUACUGCUAAAAACGCCGUCGAGGAGCAUAGCUGAAGAAACAUUAGGGGUGUUAAGUCAGCAAUGUUAACACUUGAGUCACUACAAAAUGUAUUGAAUGAUAUCAGAGCCAUCUAGUGAAGCUAUUCAGAUGUAACUUCUUAUUUAGUUUAUCGUUGUUUAUAGUCGAUAGUCGGGGCACAAAGUUUUUCUAUAACAUUGUUAGGUUAUGGCAAGUUUAGUUCAAAUAAUACUAAUUCGCUGCGGAACAUUCCGAUACUCUUACUAUUCUAAGAUUGAUAAGGGAUUAAAAAACAAUCUUCCGUAGUCGUAUCUUGCCGAGUAGGUAGUAAUCGGAAUGCUAGCAGUAACCACCAAUCCUAAGCUCUCCAUUAUUAUGACAAUUUAAAAUAAUAUAAAUUUCAAUUUAUUUUGAUAUGAAUAGUUAAUUUUAAUGCGUUCGAAGCAUUCGCGACUGGGUCACUCCUCUUAGCGUCUCCCGAGCGUCGGCGUCUAGUCAACUCUAUGGCUGCUCGACGCAACGCAACGUUGGCGCAUAUGCGCAGCGACGCCAUAUUCCAUAGCGCUGACUAGAGGCUGACGGUCAAAAGACGCUAGUGUGGGGUGGUCUUUGGGCGAGCUUCUCUUAGUAAUUUCGAGAGAAAAUGCUUUAAAACUGUUUCGGUUGACUUCCCUCCGUCUAUGGUGUUAGUUUUAUCUAUAUAGCAUUUAACUAUUUAUUUUUCAUUAUACUAGGAUUAUUUUAGUUAAUCAUAGGCCAUAAAUUUAAGAGAUUUUUGUGAGAACUUUUUUCUUUUUCUAUAAAAAAUAACAUAUUUGCACAAUAAUGCAUUUCUACGUCUUCUGAGACAACCACAUGACUGACUGGUACAAAACUACCCUCAUCCAGUGCAUUAUAUGUUUUAAGUACCCAUGUAUGUAAGUGUUUUUGUAUAUUUUUAUUAUAAAUGUAAGUGAAUGUACAACGUUUCUUUUUCAUCAUUACAAUACACUUGCCAGGGCAACAUAGCUUCUAUGAAGCUUGAUUUAUGAUAAUUUCUACUUUUUAUAGUUUCUUUCUAACUAGAUUGUAAGGAUAAAUAUUUAAUCGACAAGAUAUUUCAUUUAAUUUUGAUGGUAUUUAGUUUUAAGGGCAUUGUCCAAUUUUAUAUUAUUUAAAAUGUGCCCUAACUUUUUAUAACUUAUAUCAAAAUGUCACUAAUCUAUAUUUGACAUAAUGGCGGCAUGGUUAAAUCGUAACGUAAUUUUAGGUUAUCUCAGACAGCUUCCAUUGUAGAUAUCAUUGAAGAUGAUUUAUAAUUUUAAUGGAAUAAUGUAUACUUGGAAUAAACCACCCUAAGUAGGGCUUGUUGUAUAGAUCACUUUAAUUUUUUUAAUUAGGUUCCCAGCUGUAGAAGAUUAGUUCUUGUUAUCACUUUCACUUUGCAGAAGAUCUCUAUAAAUUUAUAGUAUUUUUAGGUCAUUGUAGAGUCACCUUUAGAACUUUGCAAGCGGAUUUAUGAGGGCAAAUGUUGGCUAUACCCUAACCAUUUUGACUUUACCGCAUCAAGAAAUAUCCGCGCGCACAGAUUCUAAUGGAGUUCUAUGUAGUGUUACACCACGAAGAAAAAUAUAUUAAAAUGUCUAUGGUCAACCAUAGAUAUAGAGUUGUUGGAACAGUAAUACUCGAUUAUUUAUAUUUUAUUUAAAAUUUUAUAUUGAAAAUUAUUUAAAGAGUGCAGACUUCGUUUGUCGUUGCGACGUAGCUGAUAGUGAAUGAUAGUUUCUCUUUUGUCAUGUUGUACGUAGAUUUUAAUAGAAAAUAUUUGUCUUAUAUAAAGAUACAUUAUGAUUGAAAAUAAUUAUUAUAUUAUACACAAUUCACAGAGAAUUAAAUGAAUGAUUUUUUA